CUACGUGCCAGCAGCCGCGGUAAUACGUAGGGUGCGAGCGUUAAUCGGAAUUACUGGGCGUAAAGCGGGCGCAGACGGUUACUUAAGCAGGAUGUGAAAUCCCCGGGCUCAACCUGGGAACUGCGUUCUGAACUGGGUGACUAGAGUGUGUCAGAGGGAGGUAGAAUUCCACGUGUAGCAGUGAAAUGCGUAGAGAUGUGGAGGAAUACCGAUGGCGAAGGCAGCCUCCUGGGAUAGCACUGACGUUCAUGCUCGAAAGCGUGGGUAGCAAACAGGAUUAGAUACCCUGGUAGUCCACGCCCUAAACGAUGUCAAUUAGCUGUUGGGGCACUAGAUGCCUUAGUAGCGAAGCUAACGCGUGAAAUUGACCGCCUGGGGAGUACGGUCGCAAGAUUAAAACUCAAAGGAAUUG
rnacentral:rRNA from 1 species